rnacentral:lncRNA from 1 species
UAAAAACAUAUAUCCCACAUGAAAGAUAAACAUUAUUCAGCAAAGAUUGCUUAAGAUAUACAAAUAAAAACAUAUAUAAUGUAAGAUGUAUAUGGCCUAGCCUCCCAUCAUCGACAUUGUUUUGCUAAGUUCAAACAUUUUGUGCCUAGACACGAUGAAAUCCGUAGCUUGCGCAUCUAUAUCCUCCUCCUUUUGCAUAAUCCCGUACUUGUGCUUAUGAUCGUGGUAGUUUGCGAGUCUAGUGUUUGUUUGAGGUUGGUUGGAGUAUCUCUCAAACCCAUUACCAUUAAAGUAGAUGUCUGAAUAAGGAGUGCUGAAGGUUCAGAUUGUUAGCGAUAAUUCCCAGGCGAGACUUUGGAUGACAAGAGCUGCAAGAGUUCGAUCUUCAGUUCGGAGAGUUAGCAGUAAACGCCCAAGCGUGUCAUGUAACUUGUGUGAUAUUUGUUUGAGUUUCUUCUUCAAAGAAGCGCGAUAAUGGUGUUGUCGAUGAAUGGUUGAACCGUGGAUUGUUGACAUCAAACAGGCUUUUAGUUG